AAAUAAAAUGAACCACAAAUAAUCUAAUCAGAUAGGUCCAUGGGGCAGAAGUAGAGUGAACCCUUCCUCUAAGGACACUAUGCCAUAUAACCAGGAAAUGUUGGCACCAGAAUUUAACCCAGGCCAGCUACCUCCAGAGUUGACUGUCUUAAUCGUGACCUUUCACGACUUUCCUCUCCAGGAAUAUCAUCCAUUAUUUUUUGAUUAGAGAUACCUUUCUACUUUCAAACAACCAUGGAGAGGACAGAGAACAUGUGAUACAGUACUGCCAGAUGUGUGUUGUCACUAUCUCUGGGUGUGUCAUGUCUUGUCCUGUCCCCUCCCAUCUUUAUCGCUCAUCUGUUCUCAUUAGGAAAAUUCUUAUUUUUAAGACCCAGCCAGAAACUCUUCCCUGACUGCUCUAGUGCACAAUGCCUCACAGUUCCAAAAUACAAAUUAUUCCUUAUGUUGACAUUCACAUGUACCCUGCCAUCUACAUUUGAAUUCUCUUUAAUGUAUGCGCCUGUGUCACUAGAGCUAUAAGCUCCUGGAAGGCAGGGACCUUCUCAUAUAAUUCUAC